rnacentral:rRNA from 1 species
GAUGAACGCUAGCGGAAGGCAUAAUACAUGCAAGUCGAACGGAUGUAGCAAUACAUUAGUGGCGCACGGGUGCGUAACGCGUAUGCAACCUACCUUCAUCAGGGGGAUAACUACUCGAAAGGGUGGCUAACACCGCAUAAUACUACUGAAUGGCAUCAUUUGGUAUUUAAAUCUGAGGAGGAUGAAGAUGGGCAUGCGUCUGAUUAGCUAGUUGGUGUGGUAACGGCGCACCAGGGCGACGAUCAGUAGGGGAACUGGGAGGUUGGUCCCCCACACUGGCACUGAGAUACGGUCCAGACUCCUACGUGAGGCAGCAGUAGGGAAUAUUGGUCAAGGUUGGGAACACUGAACCAGCCAUUCCGCGUGCAGGAAGAAGGGUCUCUGACUUGUAAACUGCUUUAGCAAGGGAAGAAAAAGCUCAUGCGUGAGAAAUUGACGGUACCUUGAGAAUAAGCACCGGCUAACUACGUGCCAGCCGCCGCUGUAA